rnacentral:rRNA from 1 species
CUACGGGUGGCAGCAGUCGAGAAUAGUCUACAAUGGGGGAAACCCUGAUAGUGCGACGCCGCGUGCGCGAAGAAUCCUUUCGGGGUGUAAAGCGCUUUUCUGUGUGAGCAAUACUUAAGAGGUUAAGAGCUACUUGAGGGAGAUAUUAGCACAGGAAUAAGCCACGGCUAACUCCGUGCCAGCAGCCGCGGUAAUACGGGGGUGGCGAGCGUUGCCCGGAAUCACUAGGCGUAAAGGGCAAGUAGGCGGAAUGGUAAGUGAGAUGUUAAAUGCGUCGGCUCAACCGGCGUCCAGCAUUUCAUACUGUCAUUCUAGAGUAGGGUAGAGGAAGACGGAAUUCCUGGUGUAGCGGUGGAAUGCGCAGAUAUCAGGAAGAACACCAAUGGCGAAGGCAGUCUUCUGGGCCACUACUGACGCUAAAUUGCGAAGGUGUGGGUAUCGAACAGGAUUAGAUACCCUUGUAGUC